GGAAUCACAGUUUCUAGUAAGUGGAGUAACCACAACAAAGCUCUUCUGGAAAUGAAAAGUACAUCCAGCCUCGUCUGCUUUUAUCCGCAUGAUAUCAUGGUGAAAUUCUAAGGAGACACUCACUAAAUCUUCUGGGAUAGAAGGAAGAAAUGAAGUCCUAGAUGCGGUUGUACGCAGUGCUGGUAAAACAACAAAUCCUGUUGGAAGAUGGCAACUCACCUGUUUGAGAAUCCCAGAGGCUGAAAUAAAACAAAGCAUGCAAGUCCAGAAAGUCAUUCUAACAACUUUUUUGAAUAUAAAAGAAAAUUUCCUUCAGCCGAGCUUGUGGACACCCUGACAAAGGAUAACAGAGAAAAGCCUACCACAAACAGAUACAAAUAAUAUAAAAAGGAAUGUGCAAACAUAUUUUCCAGCCCGGGUGGUGAAUUCAUGGCAUUGCUGUCCAUUUAUCACAUUAUUCAGACAACCAGGAACCUCUUCAUGAUAGCACC
rnacentral:lncRNA from 1 species